rnacentral:rRNA from 1 species
GGGCUAAGGAGUGCAACUCCCACCCUUUGUGAUCAACUAGACAGUUGCCUCGGCGAGAAGCUCUUCAGGGGGCUUCUCGCCGGAGGACCACUAAACUCUUGUAUUUUUGGCCUCUCUGAGUAAUUCUAAAAUGAAUCAAAACUUUCAACAACGGAUCUCUUGGUUCUGGCAUCGAUGAAGAACGCAGCGAAAUGCGAUACGUAAUGUGAAUUGCAGAAUUCAGUGAAUCAUCGAAUCUUUGAACGCACAUUGCGCCCGCCAGCACCCUGGCGGGCAUGCCUGUUCGAGCGUCAUUUCAACCAUCAAGCCCUAGGCUUGUGUUGGAGCCCUGCGGCUGCCGCAGCCUCCUAAAAGCAGUGGCGGGCUCGCUAUCACACCGAGUGCAGUAGAUUUCUCUUCGCUCAGGGCGUGUGGCGGGUUCCAGCCGUAAAACCCCCUACUUUUUUAAGGUUGACCUCGGAUCAGGUAGGAAUACCCGCUGAACUUAAGCAUAUCAAUAGCCCGGAGGAAUAUUACAAAGUUGUAAACUCCAACGUUUGAGAAAUCACUAAACGUUUGCUCGGGAGAAACUCUUAGGGGGCUUCUCCGGAGGAACCUAAAUCUUGUUAUUUUUGGCUUCUGAGUAAUUUUAAAAGGAAUCAAAACUUUCACACGAGCUCUGGUUUCUGGCUCAUUAAAAGCAGCAAAGCAUUCGUAAUGUGAAUUGC